UCGGGUAUGGUGUAGUGGUCAACAUCGCUGGUUUUCACUCAGCAGCCCGGGGCUCAAUUCCCCGUUCCCGAG